ACGACCUUACUUGAAUAAGAUCUGUUCUAUAGGCUCGUACCUCUGUUUCCUUGAUUUCUAAGGAGACAGGCCCUUAACCCUGGUUAAUAAAUAAAUAAUUUAGAAA
rnacentral:snoRNA from 1 species